AGAGAGAGAGAGAGGGUACGAAACACACGUGCUCCCAUUCGAAAUAAAGAAGAGUACACGCAAAAACUGAAACUGCAGCUAUUUUCACAUAGUACCCUGGGAGAGGGUAUUGCGGCUUUGACCAGCUGUUUGCCACGAACCGAAGCUCAGCCGAAGAACUGCCGAAUCAAUGCGCUAGGGUAUCCACAACUUCGGCACAAACGCUGGCCUUUUCUUUCCAAUUCGCCCUUCAAUCACAUUAAAUUGUAAAUGUGAGAUUAUUGGGAUUAGAAAAUUGAUUAGUAACUUUAUAUGUAGCAACUAUUUAGUUUGGCCUGUCAUUUUCAAUUGAAAGCGAAAUUGGAUUUUGUGUAGCUCAACAUUGUGUCGGGUGCUGAAGGUCGAGGCGCUUCCAGCUGAAGGUCACGGGGGGUGCACAUAGUAUAUAUGUAUGUGUGUACGCAUGUAGGCUGGCGAAUGCAACGAACGACGACUCGACUGAUAAGGGCAUUGCACAUUGGCACUGCAUUUAUUUACUGACAGUUUCACCUUCCUUUCGAAAACAUUCUCUCGAUUCUAAAUGUGUAAUAUUUUUAUGCUGAACCAAGGGGAAGAGGUUUCGCUUAGCUAUUCGAAAGCCAUGAAAAGUUGUUCUAAGCAAUAUUUCGAGGAAUUUUCAGUAAAUUGAUUUACAUAUAAAUGUACUGCAAAGGUGCACCUGGAAUCAUUUGUUGGUAUCCCCCAGUAUCCACAGCGCAAUUGUUCACGCUUUCAUCAGUUGAAAUGUUCUCAUAGCUGCACCUUUUCAUAUUGAUCUACGGUCUGUGUUAUUUCAUGAUUAUAUAAGCAGAUGGCUUCUCAGAGUCUGCUUUAAUGAAAUUGCACUUGCAGUCGCUUUUCGCUUUCAAUAUUUAAAAUACAUUUUCUUUUCCACAAUAUGUUAAGAGACUGUGCACAGCAUCUCCUCCUCCUCCUCCACCUCUACCUCUUUCGCUUUUGCUUCGUAUUCGCAAUGAUUGGCCAUUCGCACGUCAGCAAUUAACAGUUAUAGCAACUAUUGAGCGCGAGUGGAGGAGAGUGGUCUGCAGGGGGAGGGGGGCUUGACAGGUUGAUAAAGAUGGGGUUGACUUAAAAGUUUCCGUUGCACAGGAGAAGUGGCGCACAUGGCCAACACGUGCUCUCGGUCUCCGCGCAUAAGUAAUUAAGUGCAAUUUAUGGCCAGAGCCCGUGAGCGCGUUCCGUCAUUAAUUUCAAUGCAUUGAACCUGUUUCAGCACAGCAGCAGUAGCAGCAGAAGCCGCAGCAGCAGAGCCCGGCCAAUCCCAUUCUCCUACAGACAAGUGCAUUUUCAUUGCCAACAAUUUGUGUUCGUUCUGCAGGCAAUGGGAGAGGGGGAAUCUCUCCAUCUCUCUCUGCCACGCCACCCCCUCACUCUUGCUCUCUCUCUCUCUGUCUCUUUCUCUCUUGGACUCCACCUAGUUCCCAGCCUCAGGGCAUGUUGGAGAGAGGUGAUCACUCGACUGGCGCAUGGUCUGCCGCCAGCAACAACAACUUUAACAUGUUCUAACCAUUUAUGGUUGCGAGAGAGUGCGAGAGAGAGAAAAGGCGAAUGGGAAUGGGAACGAGGAAGAAGCUGUUAUGCACGGAUAUGUCAUUCUUCCCGCCUGUCUAUUCAUUUCGUUUACAUUGUAGAUCGCGUCGCAGGCAGAAAGAUUAGUAGGAAGGCAUUCAUUCCGCUCUCUACGCACGUGUGACCCCAUUAAUCAUAUAAUAAGCAUAAUUAACUUUUCAAUUUGAUAAGCGAAACGUUUACGGCACAUGCAAAUUGCAAGAGCGACUUUGUUCAGCCUCUCUCUGUCGCACUGGCUGUCGGUCAACAAAAGCACAACAAGAGUUCAAAAGUACAAAGUCCAAAGCGACGGCUUGUCGCCUAACUGACGUCACAAGCCGCCGAGGAGUUUUUUCAUUACAGUUUCGGCUGGCAGCAACAAACACUGCUGCGAUCAAACAGCAAAGAGCAAUGACAAUUAUACAUAUGUAUGUAUGUAGCAAGUCCAACAAACAAGUAUGCGAGAGCAACAUCACAACAAAACCACUCACGAGGCGAGUGCCAGUCCAAAGUCCAAACGGCAUUUUGAAGACUGGGGUCCAAAGUCCAUUGCAAGCGACACUGGUCGGGUUUUCUGCUGCCAGCCGCCGCCACCGAAGCAGCCAGCCAGCAUGCUAGUCAUACCCAGAUCCCCCUCGCCUGCUCCCUCUCACGACAUCAACAUGUGGACCACCAUCUCCCCCUCUCCCGCUGCCAUGACUUGUCUUUCGUUUACAACAACAAAAAUUGUUUGUAAAAGAGCGAAAAGCAAUACGAUGCGAAGCUCUUUUGUUUUUCUGUCUCGCACUCUUUCUUGGCACUGCUGUUUACAUCGGUCAGAGCUCUCUCUUAAUCUAUGUACCUGUUUCUCUUAAGAAGCUCGACCUCAAGUGAAGUAACAGAUGUUACAUUCUGUUUGUGUUAUUUUACACGGUUCUACCUGAUUUUACUACCUACCCAAAUGAUAGGCCAUAACAGCAAAUAAUCCGCUGCAGGGUAUUACGAGAGACGUUAAGUCGUAUAAUCAGUGGAGGGGCGGGCGGUACUAAACUCUUGCCAUCUGCCUAUUUGCGAGGUGGGGCGCGCGCGCCCGGUCCGCAGAUUUGUUUGUGUCUCGUCUUAGUGAGAAUUACGAAAGUUUCGGUUAUGUCAGGCUUCGCUGCCCAGCCUAAUUCGCUAUUGUUGUUAUUUGCCGGUGGCUGGCUUCAGAAAAUAAAUAAAUUUGUUCACGAUUCGUGCUCGAAUUCGAGUUGGUUUUGCAUUUGUGUUUCAUUUAAUUUUAGCGAAAUAAUCCACAAAAGUGGACUUUGCACUUGGCAGCAGGCAGAGAGCAGAGACAGCGAGGCUCUUUUGUAUUUUUGCGGUGAAUGAAUGUACACGAAAAUACACAUGGUAUAUUUCUGCAAGGUGAACCAUGCCCAGAGAUCUCUCGCACAUCAGCGAUAGCGUGGGGGGCAAACAAAAUAGGCAACUCAAGGGGUUCACCCCGCUCAAAUACACCUUGGAAUGUUCGACAUUUUUGGCUGUCGCCGCUCCUCCGCCUGUUGCCACGUUUUGCUCUCAACAAAAUAUAUUUCAAAAUAAAACAAAAAUAUUCCCAUGAGCCAGAACUUGUUUGAAUAUGUUUCCUAAUUGGAAUCAAAUGCUCCAACCAUUUUGCGUGCUAUUUAAGCAUUGGGGUGCUCACUUGAAGUCUCUGUGGAAUGGCAGCAGAAUCGGAGGAAUUGGGGGAAUGGGGAAAUACAAAAAAGCAUUUGAUUAUUUUUAGGAUUUCAUGUUUGCUUCCAAAUAAAUCAAGCAAAGCAAUUUAAGGCUUUAAUAAACACCCAGAUGUGGCAAGAACUUUUAUAGUAGAAUGCUGCACCCCCCGGACUGUCUUCCUAUCUGGAAUACUCAACGAACCCCACAAAUGGAUUCCAUUCCAAGCAAAGCUCAAGUCAUUGUAUUUCUCAUUAGACUGCAAAACCCAAUUUCGCUACGACAUUCUAUCCAAAUGAAUGCACUCAUGAGUAGUUGUAGUGGAGGCAAGCAAAUCCACUCGAAGCCAAGCAAAACCACUCCAAGCAAGAAAAUCCACUCAGGGCAAACGUUUCUGGACUAAUUAAGACGCCGAAAUGUCGUCGACAGCCUGCGGUUUUCCAAACAGGCGGAUGGGAUGGAAUAGUACCUUGUGGUAGGUGGUAGGCGGUUGGUGGUUGGUGGUUAUAGGCACCGGAUGAGAUUCCAAUCCCAAUCCCAAGCCGAACGCAAUUAAUUAAUCAAGUACAUGGAUCAAUUUACAUGCCACUGCCACCACUAGCACGCUAGUGGGGAAUAGGAGGUGUUGCAACUUGGUAACGGUUGUUAACGGCACUGUGCAGAGCCGACAAGAGACGACUCUCGAGAUGUUCAUCUCCGAGCGAGGCAGCCAGCUGUGCCGGAAGUUGAGCCCCCACCCGCCCAAAGAAUGGUGUGGGGCUUAUACCAUAAAGGAAGAUUGGAUUGGGGAGAGUGUGCUGUAUCUGAGAGCGCAUCGAGUGAAUCCUCUCGAGAGUUUUCGCCACGUAAUAGCUGAAAUUUAAUGACUUGCUGUGCUGCAAAAUGUUGAAUACAGUUUGGGGAAACAUUGCCGCCAGAUAUAAAGCUGUUGAAGCUGCCGAAACUGGAUGGAUUCGUACUAAUAGUCUAUAUUAUAUGUAUAUGGAAUAUUCCAUUAUGCUCAAUCAGGUGAAAAAAUGUUGCAUAAAUGCCGAGCGCCAAAUAAUAUACAAUUAAAUUUUUCCAGAGAAACCAACAACAAAAUUGAAUGAUUAUAUAUACGAAAUUUUUUGCUUCAAUUAAAUUUUUGUGUGGGCAAAGCCACAACGAGAUGGAAUUGUCGGAAAUUCCUUUAUUAAAUACGAUAUUAAAUAGCUAAUAAACCGAAGCAUCCGCCACGGGGUGAAAACAUUCA